rnacentral:misc_RNA from 1 species
AACGCACAUUGCGCCCGCUAGUAUUCUGGCGGGCAUGCCUGUUCGAGCGUCAUUUCAACCAUCAAGCCCCAGGCUUGUGUUGGAGCCCUGCGGCCGUCCGCAGCCUCCUAAAAUUAGUGGCGGGCUCGCUAUCACACCGAGUGCAGUAGUUUUCUCUUCGCUCUGGCCGUGUAGCGGGUUCCGGCCGUGAAACCCCCCACAUUCUAAGGUUGACCUCGGAUCAGGUAGGAAUACCCGCUGAACUUAA